rnacentral:rRNA from 1 species
UACGUAGGGUGCAGGCGUUAAUCGGAAUUACUGGGCGUAAAGCGUGCGCAGGCGGCUAUUUAAGCUUGCUGUGAAAGCCCCGGGCUUAACCUGGGAACUGCAGUGAGGACUGGAUGGCUGGAGUGUGGCAGAGGGGGGUGGAAUUCCACGUGUAGCAGUGAAAUGCGUAGAGAUGUGGAGGAACACCGAUGGCGAAGGCAGCCCCCUGGGCUAACACUGACGCUCAGGCACGAAAGCGUGGGGAGCAAACAGG